AAUUGGCCUGGUUUGCCUGGAACUGAGAGAUGUCCUGGGACACAGGAAUCUGAGGGCUAAAACUGGA
rnacentral:miRNA from 1 species